rnacentral:rRNA from 1 species
UACAGAGGGGGCAAGCGUUAUUCGGAAUUAUUGGGCGUAAAGAGCGUGUAGGCGGCCAUACAGGUCCGUUGUGAAAACUCGAGGCUUAACCUCGAGACGUCGAUGGAAACCGUAUGGCUAGAGUCCGGAAGAGGAGAGUGGAAUUCCUGGUGUAGCGGUGAAAUGCGCAGAUAUCAGGAAGAACACCCGUGGCGAAGGCGGCUCUCUGGGACGGUACUGACGCUGAGACGCGAAAGCGUGGGGAGCGAACAGG